AAAAUUUUAUUAUAAAAAAGUAUUUUAUAUUUUCCUUAUAAAGGUUAAAAUUUUA
rnacentral:tRNA from 1 species